rnacentral:rRNA from 1 species
GACGAACGCUGGCGGCGUGCUUAACACAUGCAAGUCGAACGGAAAGGCCCUGCUUUUGUGGGGUGCUCGAGUGGCGAACGGGUGAGUAACACGUGAGUAACCUGCCCUUGACUUUGGGAUAACUUCAGGAAACUGGGGCUAAUACCGGAUAGGAGCUCCUGCUGCAUGGUGGGGGUUGGAAAGUUUCGGCGGUUGGGGAUGGACUCGCGGCUUAUCAGCUUGUUGGUGGGGUAGUGGCUUACCAAGGCUUUGACGGGUAGCCGGCCUGAGAGGGUGACCGGCCACAUUGGGAUGGAGAGGGGGCCCGGACCCCAGGGGGAGGGGGGGGGGGGGAGUUGUGCAAAAGGGGCGGGGGCCGGGUGCGGCAGCGCCGGGUGGGGAAUGGGGGCUUUGGGUUUGAAAACGUUUUUCGCCUGUGAAGAGGGGAGAGGGACGGUAAGGGGUAAAGAGGACCGGGCUAACUCGGGG